rnacentral:rRNA from 1 species
UGGGGAAUAUUGGACAAUGGGCGCAAGCCUGAUCCAGCCAUGCCGCGUGAGUGAUGAAGGCCCUAGGGUUGUAAAGCUCUUUCACCGGUGAAGAUAAUGACGGUAACCGGAGAAGAAGCCCCGGCUAACUUCGUGCCAGCAGCCGCGGUAAUACGAAGGGGGCUAGCGUUGUUCGGAUUUACUGGGCGUAAAGCGCACGUAGGCGGACUAUUAAGUCAGGGGUGAAAUCCCGGGGCUCAACCCCGGAACUGCCUUUGAUACUGGUAGUCUUGAGUGCGAGAGAGGUGAGUGGAAUUCCGAGUGUAGGGGUGAAAUUCGUAGAUAUUCGGAGGAACACCAGUGGCGAAGGCGGCUCACUGGCUCGAUACUGACGCUGAGGUGCGAAAGCGUGGGGAGCAAACCGG